UACGGAGGGUGCAAGCGUUAUCCGGAUUCACUGGGUUUAAAGGGAGCGCAGGCGGGCUGGUAAGUCAGUGGUGAAAGCCUUGAGCUUAACUCGGGAACUGCCGUGGAUACUAUUAGUCUUGAAUAUCGUGGAGGUAAGCGGAAUAUGUCAUGUAGCGGUGAAAUGCUUAGAUAUGACAUAGAACACCGAUAGCGGAGGCAGCUUACUACGCGAUUAUUGACACUGAGGCACGAAAGCGUGGGGAUCAAACAGG
rnacentral:rRNA from 1 species